rnacentral:rRNA from 1 species
CGGGGUGCACCAGGCGCGAAAACUUUACAAUGCCGGCAACGGCGAUAAGGGAACCUCGAGUGCCAGGUUACAAAUCUGGUUGUCGUGAUGCCUAAAAAGCAUUGCAUAGCAAGGGCCGGGCAAGACCGGUGCCAGCCGCCGCGGUAACACCGGCGGCUCGAGUGGUAACCGUUAUUAUUGGGUCUAAAGGGUCUGUAGCCGGCCGGAUAAGUCUCUUGGGAAAUCUGGCAGCUUAACUGUCAGGCUUUCAGGAGAUACUGUCUGGCUCGAGGCCGGGAGAGGUGAGAGGUACUUCAGGGGUAGGGGUGAAAUCUUGUAAUCCUUGAAGGACCACCAGUGGCGAAGGCGUCUCACCAGAACGGACCUGACGGCAAGGGACGAAAGCUAGGGGCACGAACCGGAUUAGAUACCCGGGUAGUCCUAGCCGUAAACGAUACUCGCUAGGUGUCGGCCACGGUGCGACCGUGGUCGGUGCCGUAGGGAAGCCGUGAAGCGAGCCACCCGGGAAGUACGGCCGCAAGGCUGAAACUUAAAGGAAUUGGCGGGGGAGCACAAGGGCGAAUCGCGG